rnacentral:rRNA from 1 species
GAUGAACGCUGGCGGCGUGCCUAAUACAUGCAAGUCGAGCGAACAGACGAGGAGCUUGCUCCUCUGACGUUAGCGGCGGACGGGUGAGUAACACGUGGAUAACCUACCUAUAAGACUGGGAUAACUUCGGGAAACCGGAGCUAAUACCGGAUAAUAUAUUGAACCGCAUGGUUCAUUAGUGAAAGACGGUUUUGCUGUCACUUAUAGAUUGAUCCGCGCCGCAUUAGCUAGUUGGUAAGGUAACGGCUUACCAAGGCAACGAUGCGUAGCCGACCUGAGAGGGUGAUCGGCCACACUGGAACUGAGACACGGACAAGACUACUACGGGAGGCAGCAGUAGGGAAUAUUCCGCAAUGGGCGAAAGCCUGACGGAGCAACGCCGCGUGAGUGAUGAAGGUCUUCGGAUCGUAAAACUCUGUUAUUAGGGAAGAAAAAAUGUGUAAGUAACUAUGCACGUCUUGACGGUACCUAAUCAGAAAGCAACGGCUAACUACGUG